AGAGUUUGAUCCUGGCUCGGGAUAAACGCUGGCGGCGCACAUAAGACAUGCAAGUCGAACGGAAGUCGUUGUAAUGAUAUAGACAUGGACUGAGAACUUGUUCAAAGAAAGUGAAAGUUGACUUACAACAAUGGCUUUAGUGGCGGACUGGUGAGUAACACGUAAGCAACCUGCCUAUCAGAGGGGAACAACAGUUAGAAAUGACUGCUAAUACCGCAUAUGCCUUAGCAACACAUGUUGAC
rnacentral:rRNA from 1 species